rnacentral:tRNA from 1 species
GCCCUGGUAGUGAAACGGAUCAUCAUUCCGCGCUUCGAACGCGGCGUUCCAGGUUCGAAUCCUGGCCGGGGUACUA